rnacentral:rRNA from 1 species
UGGGGAAUAUUGGACAAUGGGCGCAAGCCUGAUCCAGCCAUGCCGCGUGGAUGAAGAAGGCCCUAGGGUUGUAAAGUCCUUUCGUCAGGGACGAUAAUGACGGUACCUGAAGAAGAAGCCCCGGCUAAUUUCGUGCCAGCAGCCGCGGUAAUACGAAAGGGGCUAGCGUUGUUCGGAAUUACUGGGCGUAAAGCGCACGUAGGCGGCCUUGUAAGUUGGGGGUGAAAUCCCCGGGCUCAACCCGGGAACUGCCUUCAAGACUGCAAAGCUAGAGGAUGCGAGAGGUUGGCGGAAUUCCGAGUGUAGAGGUGAAAUUCGUAGAUAUUCGGAAGAACACCAGUGGCGAAGGCGGCCAACUGGCGCAUUUCUGACGCUGAGGUGCGAAAGCGUGGGGAGCAAACAGG